rnacentral:rRNA from 1 species
AUCUAAGUACCCCGAGGAAAAGAAAUCAACCGAGAUUCCCCCAGUAGCGGCGAGCGAACGGGGAGGAGCCCAGAGCCUGAAUCAGCAUGUGUGUUAGUGGAAGCGUCUGGAAAGGCGCGCGAUACAGGGUGACAGCCCCGUACACAAAAGCGCAUGUGCUGUGAGCUCGAUGAGUAGGGCGGGACACGUGGUAUCCUGUCUGAAUAUGGGGGGACCAUCCUCCAAGGCUAAAUACUCCUGACUGACCGAUAGUGAACCAGUACCGUGAGGGAAAGGCGAAAAGAACCCCGGCGAGGGGAGUGAAAAAGAACCUGAAACCGUGUACGUACAAGCAGUGGGAGCACAGGUUUACCUGUGUGACUGCGUACCUUUUGUAUAAUGGGUCAGCGACUUAUAUUCUGUAGCAAGGUUAACCGAAUAGGGGAGCCGGAGGGAAACCGAGUCUUAACCGGGCGUUAAGUUGCAGGGUAUAGACCCGAAACCCGGUGAUCUAGCCAUGGGCAGGUUGAAGGUUGGGUAACACUAACUGGAGGACCGAACCGACUAAUGUUGAAAAAUUAGCGGAUGACCUGUGGCUGGGGGUGAAAGGCCAAUCAAACCGGGAGAUAGCUGGUUCUCCCCGAAAGCUAUUUAGGUAGCGCCUCGUGAAUUCAUCUCCGGGGGUAGAGCACUGUUUCGGCUAGGGGGCCAUCCCGGCUUACCAACCCGAUGCAAACUGCGAAUACCGGAGAAUGUUAUCACGGGAGACACACGGCGGGUGCUAACGUCCGUCGUGAAGAGGGAAACAACCCAGACCGCCAGCUAAGGUCCCAAAGUCAUGGUUAAGUGGGAAACGAUGUGGGAAGGCCCAGACAGCCAGGAUGUUGGCUUAGAAGCAGCCAUCAUUUAAAGAAAGCGUAAUAGCUCACUGGUCGAGUCGGCCUGCGCGGAAGAUGUAACGGGGCUAAACCAU